rnacentral:rRNA from 1 species
AGAGUUUGAUCAUGGCUCAGGACGAACGCUUGCGACGUGCCUAAGAAAUGCAAGUCGAGCGAGGCAGCAAUGCCUAGCGGCGAACGGUCGCGUAACACGUAAGCAACCUGCCCCAAAGACCGGGACAACGUUUCGAAAGGAGCGCUAAUACCGGAUGUGCCCAUUCUUUGACAUCAUUGGAUGAGUAAAUCAAGCAAUUGGCUUUGGGAGGGGCUUGCGGCCUAUCAGCUAGAUGGUGGGGUAACGGCCUACCAUGGCGACGACGGGUAGCUGGUCUGAGAGGAUGGUCAGCCGGAUUGGGACUGAGAUACGGCCCAGACUCCUACGGGGGGCAGCAAUUAGGAAUCUUGCGCAAUGGGCGAAAGCCUGACGCAGCGACGUCGCGUGGGGGAGGAAGGCUUUCGGGUUGUAAACCCCUUUUAUCGAGGAAGAAACAAAUGACGGUACUCGAUGAAUAAGCCCCGGCUAACUCCGUGCCAGCAGCCGCGGUAAUACGGAGGGGGCUAGCGUUGUCCGAAGUUACUGGGCGUAAAGCGCGCGUAGGCGGGUUGGUAAGUCCGCUGUGAAAGCCCGGAGCUUAACUCCGGAGGGUCGGUGGAUACUGCCAGUCUUGAAGGUGCUAGGGGGAGAUGGAAUUACCGGUGUAGCGGUGAAAUGCGUAGAUAUCGGUAGGAACACCAGUGGCGAAGGCGGUCUCCUGGGGCAUUCUUGACGCUGAGGCGCGAAAGCUGGGGGAGCAAACGGGAUUAGAUACCCCAGUAGUCC